rnacentral:rRNA from 1 species
UUAGAGUUUGAUCCUGGCUCAAGACGAACUCUGGCGGCGCGCCUAACACAUGCAAGUCGAACGAGAGAGAGGGAGCUUGCUUCCUCAAUCGAGUGGCGAACGGGUGAGUAACGCGUGAGGAACCUGCCUCAAAGAGGGGGACAACAGUUGGAAACGACUGCUAAUACCGCAUAAGCCCACGACCCGGCAUCGGGUAGAGGGAAAAGGAGCAAUCCGCUUUGAGAUGGCCUCGCGUCCGAUUAGCUAGUUGGUGAGGUAACGGCCCACCAAGGCGACGAUCGGUAGCCGGACUGAGAGGUUGAACGGCCACAUUGGGACUGAGACACGGCCCAGACUCCUACGGGAGGCAGCAGUGGGGAAUAUUGCACAAUGGGGGAAACCCUGAUGCAGCGACGCCGCGUGGAGGAAGAAGGUCUUCGGAUUGUAAACUCCUGUUGUUGAGGAAGAUAAUGACGGUACUCAACAAGGAAGUGACGGCUAACUACGUGCCAGCAGCCGCGGUAAAACGUAGGUCACAAGCGUUGUCCGGAAUUACUGGGUGUAAAGGGAGCGCAGGCGGGAAGACAAGUUGGAAGUGAAAUCCAUGGGCUCAACCCAUGAACUGCUUUCAAAACUGUUUUUCUUGAGUAGUGCAGAGGUAGGCGGAAUUCCCGGUGUAGCGGUGGAAUGCGUAGAUAUCGGGAGGAACACCAGUGGCGAAGGCGGCCUACUGGGCACCAACUGACGCUGAGGCUCGAAAGUGUGGGUAGCCAAAAGGAUUAGAUACCCUGGUAGUCCACACUUAAACGCCCAUGUGGGGUGUUGGAGGAUUGACCCCUUCAGUGCCGCAGUUAACACAAUAAGUAAUCCACCUGGGGAGUACGACCGCAAGGUUGAAACUCAAAGGAAUUGACGGGGGCCCGCACAAGCAGUGGAGUAUGUGGUUUAAUUCGACGCAACGCGAAGAACCUUACCAAGUCUUGACAUCCUGCGACGCACAUAGAAAUAUGUGUUUCCUUCGGGACGCAGAGACAGGUGGUGCAUGGUUGUCGUCAGCUCGUGUCGUGAGAUGUUGGGUUAAGUCCCGCAACGAGCGCAACCCUUAUGGUCAGUUACUACGCAAGAGGACUCUGGCCAGACUGCCGUUGACAAAACGGAGGAAGGUGGGGAUGACGUCAAAUCAUCAUGCCCUUUAUGACUUGGGCUACACACGUACUACAAUGGCGUUAAACAAAGAGAAGCAAGACCGCGAGGUGGAGCAAAACUCAGAAACAACGUCCCAGUUCGGACUGCAGGCUGCAACUCGCCUGCACGAAGUCGGAAUUGCUAGUAAUCGCAGAUCAGCAUGCUGCGGUGAAUACGUUCCCGGGCCUUGCACA